CGCUGAGCUCCCCGGCGGCGCCGCUGCCCCUGCGCCGCGCCGGGCGGCCCCGGGUGCCUCGGCCCGCCCUCCCCUGCCGCCGGGCCCGGGCCGCGCUGUGGGAGGUGGCGAGCGGCCCCGGCUGGGCACCUGCCGCCACCGCGGGGGGACUGAGCUGCCAUUUCCUCGUCCGUUUAACGGACAGGAGCGGGGUAGCCGAGUUGCGUCCUGCCGCGCCGGCCUGCCGAAUGACGAGUUUCAGUGGAUUUUCGCCUCUUCGGGUCCUCCUUGUUGCACGAGUGUCCUCAGAGGGGUUUUGCGAACUAGCUGCCCUUAAUAAUCUGCUUUUUCCAAAAUUGUUAGGCUGUUUUCUAGUUCCCGGUUAUGACUAGCCAGUAGCACAGUUGCUCUUCCUUCUAAUAGGCAAAACUUUAUACCCUUUUCUGGACAGAUUUGUGGUAUAUCGGCAUAGAAAGUUAUCCCUAAAAAACACGGAGAGCUUCAUGCCAUACUGGCUAUGCACUGUGCUUCUGGAAAGGGUUUUAUGCUUUUGGAAGAGAACAUACUUUGAAAAUAGGAUGGUUUUUAAGAAAUCAAUAUCUAAAUUUACUGCAAGUUGAGUAACAAAGCCAAUAAAACAUUCAUUGGUUUCUACAGAAACCAAUUGCUUGGCUGGGAUUGUACUAAACAUAGCUUUUGCCUGGAAUUUACUGUCUUUGCAGCUCACUCUUUUGCUUAUUUGCAGGAAAUCAGAAUUUUAGAAAACCGACUUGGAAAUUUCUAGCAUGUGAGGAGUGCUUGCAAUCACGCUAUAAAGGAAUUUGGAACGUGACAGAAGUUUCAUGUGCUGUUGGAAGCAUCCCAUACUUGCCUAAUUAGGCUACAAGACUUCAUCUUACUAGUUCAGUUGUAGAGUACCAGUAAAUGAUAAUACAUUGAGUGCCUUUAUUGUCUGUUGAUGUAUUUCUUUUAGAAGAAAACCUUGAAUCAUCUGAAAUGUAUCAUAAUAGAGUUGCUUUCUGAUCAGGGAUCUGCUUAUUCUUACAAUUCUUGUUUUUCAGGACUUCAAAAUAAAAGUUUUCCUAAUGAUGACAGCUUCCAGUAAUGAAAUGGCAUUUAAAAAUUUGUAUUUUCUAAGUCAUGUAAAAAUUCAAGAACUUGACUAAUUUUAUUUCCUUUCAAAAUGUAUUUAAGACAGGACAUCUGUCUUGGCCUAAGAAAUUUAGUUCCCUAUGUUGCAAGAUUCCUCUGUGUAUAAAUGUUGCUAUUUUCAGGCCUACUGAUAAAGAAGAAGCUUCCUUGUGAAGGUGCAGCUAUAAAUAUACCAACACCCAACCAGCAGAACAAGUUUCUUGCUGGUAUGCUUGUCUGUGCUAGAAUUUUGCCAGCUUAGAAAUACCAUAUCAAAUGACUCCUAUGGGUUUGUUGCUGUCAUGUCAGAAGCUGAGUUUCGAUAAAUGUCAACACUGUCCUGAAUUUUUAGAAUCAUGUAGUUUGGAAGGGGCUUCUGGAGUUUAUCUAGUCCAGCCUCCUGCUCCAAGCAGGUCCAAUUAGAGCAGAUUGUUCAGGAGCUUUUCCUUCAGAAAUACAUCUUGAAAAAUAUGCAACAGGUCAGAUGUAUUCCCAGACAGCUUGCUAAACUCACUCAACUGCAGGCUUGAUGGAUUGCAUUGCUUUCUGUUGCCCAUUAGUCCUAAAGGGAAGGGAACCUGGUAGAGGUGGGAGGAUUAGGAUAGAAAGACUGCAGGGUGUUUGCACUGGAAGCAGUGUAAGCAGAUGCUGACAAACAUACGACAGGCAGUGUGGUUAUGCCUGAUGCAGCACGCUAAAGUCAGGGUAGAGGCCUGAAGCCUUGCCUUUUGCUCAGGGCAUCUAAGGAUGCCUCGUGCAUUUUCCGGGCCAUUAACUUCAUAUGCAACACAGAUGACAUCACAGACUGGCAGGAUAAGAUGGUAUUUUGCUGUGGAAGAAAUGAGGCCAGCAUGCCUAGAAACGUCAGCAAAAAUGCUGUGUAGAAAACUGUAGCUUCUGGAUUGUUCCCAGGACCAAACAGAAGUUUGUAUAUUGAUCAACAAAGUACGCUGCAAAGAAAGAAACAAUUUCCAGCACCUUGUGCCCCAAACCAAAGAAAAACAAGUUGCUCACUACCUCUUACUCUACCUCUAUUCAGGUGUAGCAUAAGAGUAAUUUGUUUGGGGCUGGGAAUAUCAGGCUUUUAAACUGCAUCCGUGUGUUUCACAGCACUUACAUUACCUGCAUAGUUUACAAGUUAACACUAGAAAGCAAAGAAUUCCAACUGAAGAGGACUGUGCUGCCUGCAGUUUGCUUUCUGCUGUCUUAGUUUAUGUUUUGUCAUAUUCAUGUCUCAGAUUUGUAAUAGACUGAUUUUUUUUAAUACAUUGCAGAUUUAUGAUAGCUGAAACUUGAUGCUAAGUGAUGCAAGCUAUUAAAUGUUUAUAAUAUCUUAUUUUCUAACUUGUACCUGGCUGUAAAUUAAAGAGGUUGCUUUAGUAGAUAA